rnacentral:lncRNA from 1 species
AAAAAAAGUAGGUGAACAAACCCCAACAUAUCUUUAAAUAACUCAAGAGAGCUGCCCAACGCUUUCUAAGCUCAGGUGGGUUGUUGCCAAGCGCCCAAUGGAGAUAACCCCUUUUUCUCCAAAGAAAAGGUACAUGCCUCCUAGUUCCUGCCCCAGUCCCUGGUUUUGCUAUUGUGCACAGCCUAAUAUAGGUAGAUUCCAGUUAAGUGUUGUUUUCAGCUGCCAGUAACAUGAAAAAAUAAUGACUUCCAGUGUGUGUGUGUAAACUCUGACAUAUAACACACACUCGUGCAGGUAUACACACACACACACACACACAUUAUCUCAUGCAGACCAUGAGGUCAACAAGUUUGAAUUGCUUGGCUAAAUUUCAGUUUCUAGAACACUUUUUUUUUUUUUUACAUAUUCAUUUUAUGUGAGUACACUGUUGCUGUCUUCAGACACACCAGAAGAGGGCACCAGAUCUCACUAUGGAUGGUUGUGAGCCACUAUGUGGCUGCUGGAAAUUGAACUCAGGGCUUGUGGAAGAGCAGUCAGUGUGAGCCAUCUCUCUAGCCCUCUAGAAUACUCUUGAACUUGAAUUCCAGAGCAGCCAGCUGAGCGUCCCUGGUCCCGUCCAUUUAUUUUCAUUGAUUCUGUUUCCUUCUCUGCAGAAUAGACGGUGUAGCACCUGAUCAUGGAGUGGGUGUGGAAAUCAAGUCGUGCAUUAAAGCGCUCAGCACAGAGGCUAGAACACAAUGAAUCUCAUAAAUGCUGGUGUGAGGGCUAGAGAGAGGCAUCUCAGUGGUCAAGAGUGAUUUUUUUUCUCUUUUUCAGAAGACCAGGGUUCAUAUCCUUACACCCACAGAGCAACCACAAGUGCCUAUAGCUCCAGAUGCAUAGGAUAUAAUGCCUGCACUGCAUGUACACAGUGCACAUGCAUACACUUGGGCACACAUGUAUCCAUAAGAAGUUAAAUCAUAAAUAUUUUUAAAUGAAUCUUUAGAAAAUGCUGUCAGACAAAAUGAGCCACAUCCCUGCCUCUUACUAACCUGGGAGUUAUGCACUGUACUGACAAACGUCUUAUUUACCAAGAAAGCAAGAAUGAAGUACUUAGAUACUCAGAAGCUGAUGCAAGCUGAAUUGGUCUGCAUUUUUAAAAUGAGGCUUAGUUGGCGCGCGGUGGUGCGCAUCUGCAAGCCUAGCUCUCAGGAAGCUGAAGGAGGGGAGUCUUGAACUGGAGGUCAGUCAGCCUGGACUUGCUAAGGAGAUGUCUCAGGAAACAGUCAAGCAAGGCUGUCGGGUUGGCUCAGUACAUACGUAGAGGCUCCCUGUGCAAGCCUGUGAAUUCUAAUUUCAAUCCAUGGAGUAGAUAUAAAGGUGAAAGCAAGAACUGACCCCACAGAGCCGUCCUCUGACCACCCCAUGUUCACUGUGGCUCAUGCGCCCGCCCCUCCCCCCACAAACACACGCAACCUAAAACAACAAAUACUCAUUUUUCCUCUAUCUGUUCUUCUCCUCAGAGAAGGAAAUAACAGGGGAAAAGGAAGAGAGACUCCAACAAUAAGCACUCGGUGGAGCAGGACAUUUAAGGAUAAAUAUCGGAGCUGUGGUGUAGCUGGGUUGCACAGCUUCUUCUCCGGUUUGAUCCCCAACACAACCAUAAGCUAGCUGUUUACUGCUCUGGAGGCGUAAGGGGGAGUGGAGUCGAUAAUGAGUCGAAGUCAAGUCUCCUACAACAGCCAACUUUAUUCGGAGCAUCAGACAAUUUAUACUUUGAGAGUUAAGAGGAGUCACGUGAGUAGAGCGUAUCAUCACAAGGGCAAGCCACAUGGAGCAAAGAUUUUUUUUUUCAUAGAGACAUAGGAACCAAUAACAGUAGCUCGUUGUAAUGAAUGAUCUGAAGUAAGCUCACUCCUUUCUGCUACACCUGGGAAGGGCACAAAAGCACAUUCCGAGGAAUAUUCCUUGUUUUGGAAGAAACUGAGAUCACGAGACUCUUGUUUCCUUGGAGUUUUCCCACAGGCACUCAGAAUUCUCCUUGCAUGACUCCAUUCUUGAACCAUGUUCCAACAACUGACGUUGAGGUUAUUAGUGGUUUCUUUUUGAUAUGUAGGGUUCUACGUCACUCCAUAUUUUCAUUUUGAAGUGUGCACAAAUAUCUAUUGUGGCUGAUUUUCUGUUUUUUGUUUUUUUGAGCUAGGGUGUUAGGUAGCCCAGGCUAGACUCCAACUGGAUGUAUUGCUGAGGACGAUCCUGAACUGCUGACCCUCUAUCCUCUACCUCCAAGCCGUGAGCUUCCAGGGUGAGCGGAUUCUGACGGCGUAUCCUAGCAACCACUGAAAAGAACCCCACGUCAAGGGAUACAAGCUCCAGGAGCCGAUUCGCAAUGGCCACUGAGAUGCAGCGAGAAGUCCCGUGGCCUAGGCAACAACCCACAGGUUGAAACCCGCAAGCGUGAGCUGACCCUGCCGUCAGGAUGCUGAAGAGACACCGUGAGAGCAACAGUGUGAGCGGGGCCAAAGGCUGCCUCAUAAAUAUGGCCCUAAAUCAAAACGCUGAGAGUCCAGGCUUGGAGCUGGAGCAGGAGCCAGACAAAACCACUUCAUCUGUAAAGAACUAAAGGUCAUGGACCGCUUUCAAAUAAAUCCCUCUAAUCUAAUGACAAAUGACAUUUGCUUCUAUAAAGCCACACAAUGCUCAAUGAGAUGCUAAUAAUGAGGCCUCACAAGAAUGAAAACGACUUCCAUUACUCUCCUCAUAAAUUUGGACAGCUCUGAUUGUUAGCCAAGUAGCCAGUGCAGAAUGCUAAUGCCCAAGGCACCUUCUCUCUCGCUGCCAAGGAAGAAAUCCAGGUUGGGCUGAGCAAACAGAAGGUGGGGAAGGAAGACAGGAAUCUGCUCUCCCUCUCUUCCUCCCUGCCCUCCAUAACCCAUGUCUCUGUUCUCUCAGUGAAGAGAACUCGCAGCCAUCCUCCUGCCCCUGACUUCUAAAUACAGUGAUGACGAGAAUAUGCCACUAGGCCCAAACAACAAACCAACUUUUUUUGUUUUGUUUUGUUUUUCUGACACAGGCUCUCACUAUGCAUCCCUGGUUAUCCUGGAACUCACAAUGUAGACCAGGCUGGCCUUGAACUCACAGAGACCCUCUUGACUCACCCUUCUCAAUGCUGGGAUUAAAGUUGUGAAA